rnacentral:rRNA from 1 species
UACGAAGGGGGCUAGCGUUGCUCGGAAUCACUGGGCGUAAAGCGCACGUAGGCGGCUUUCUAAGUCAGGGGUGAAAUUCUGGAGCUCAACUCCAGAACUGCCUUUGAUACUGGAGAGCUUGAGUCCGGAAGAGGUGAGUGGAACUCCGAGUGUAGAGGUGAAAUUCGUAGAUAUUCGGAAGAACACCAGUGGCGAAGGCGGCUCACUGGUCCGGUACUGACGCUGAUGUGCGAAAGCGUGGGGAGCAAACAGG